rnacentral:lncRNA from 1 species
CACCCCAUGGGUGCCAGCCGUGUCACGUGGCCGUCCCCAGGACUCGUACCUGCUCCAGUACUUCUCGGACCUGAACCAGUACCUGGCCGUGGGUGUCCCCACCUACUUUGUCACCACCGGUGGCUUCGACUUCUCCUCCCCGAACGGCACCAACGCCAUCUGCUCCAGCGCCGGCUGCGACGACGACUCGCUCACGCAGACCAUCCAGAUGGCCACGCGCUUCCCCAACGUGUCCUACCUGGCCAUCCCGGCCACCUCGUGGGUGGACGAUUUCCUGGACUGGCUGAACCCCAUGGGGCCGUGCUGCCGCGUCUACCAGUGUGAGGAGCUCCAGGGCGAGUUCUGCCCCGCCACCGGCAGUGAGUGCGGGGCACGGGGGCUACUCCGUGGUGGCCGCUGUGUGCCCACCAUGGUGGUCCUUGGGUGGCCAUUGCAUGCCCACCGUGGUGGCCAUUGUGUGCCCACCGUGGUGGUCCUUGGGUGGCCAUUGCAUGCCCACCGUGGUGGUCCUGGCGAUCCAUUCAGUGACCAUUGAUGGGGACCAUUGGGUGCCCACCAUGGUGGUCCUUGGGUGUCUGUUGGGUGCCCAUCAUGGUGGCCAUUGGGUGGCCAUUGGGUGCCCACUGUGGUAGCCAUUGGGUGGCCAUUGGGUGGCCAUUGGGUGCCCACUGUGGUAGCCAUUGGGUGGCCAUUGGGUGCCCACCAUGGUGG